GAUAACAGGCUGAUCUUGCCCAAGAGUCCAUAUCGACGGCAUGGUUUGGCACCUCGAUGUCGGCUCGUCGCAUCCUGGGGCUGGAGUAGGUCCCAAGGGUUGGGCUGUUCGCCCAUUAAAGCGGUACGCGAGCUGGGUUUAGAACGUCGUGAGACAGUUCGGUCCCUAUCCGCUGUGCGCGUAGGAAACUUGAGAAGAGCUGUCCCUAGUACGAGAGGACCGGGAUGGACGAACCUCUGGUGUGUCAGUUGUUCUGCCAAGAGCACGGCUGAUUAGCUACGUUCGGAAGUGAUAACCGCUGAAAGCAUCUAAGCGGGAAGCACGCUUCAAGAUGAGGUUUCCAUGGGCUUCGGCCCGAGA
rnacentral:rRNA from 1 species